rnacentral:snRNA from 1 species
GGAUGUGAGGGCGAUCUGGCUGCGACAUCUGUCACCCCAUUGAUCACCAGGGUUGAUUCGGCUGAUCUGGCUGGCUAGGCGGGUGUCCCCUUCCUCCCUCACCACUCCAUGUGCGUCCCUCCCGAAGCUGCGCGCUCGGUCGAAGAGGAUGACCAUCCCCGAUAGAGGAGGACCGUUCUUCGGUCAAGGGUAUAUGAGUAGCUGCACUUCCCUGCUAGAACCUCCAAACAAGCUCUCAAAACACUUUAGACUGCCCAAGCGCACUGAUCAAAAAGGACCAGAGUUUGAAGGUCAGCUUCACUUUUUCU